CCUACGGGAGGCAGCAGUGAGGAAUAUUGGACAAUGGGCGCAAGCCUGAUCCAGCCAUGCCGCGUGCAGGAUGACGGUCCUAUGGAUUGUAAACUGCUUUUGCACAGGAAGAAACAACAUUACGUGUAAUGUCUUGACGGUACUGUGAGAAUAAGGAUCGGCUAACUCCGUGCCAGCAGCCGCGGUAAUACGGGGGAUCCAAGCGUUAUCCGGAAUCAUUGGGUUUAAAGGGUCCGUAGGCGGUCUUAUAAGUCAGUGGUGAAAUCUCCCCGCUCAACGGGGAAACGGCCAUUGAUACUGUAGGACUUGAAUUAUUAGGAAGUAACUAGAAUAUGUAGUGUAGCGGUGAAAUGCUUAGAGAUUACAUGGAAUACCAAUUGCGAAGGCAGGUUACUACUAAUGGAUUGACGCUGAUGGACGAAAGCGUGGGUAGCGAACAGGAUUAGAUACCCUGGUAGUCCACGCCGUAAACGAUGGAUACUAGCUGUUGGGUGCAAACUCAGUGGCUAAGCGAAAGUGAUAAGUAUCCCCACCNGGAGUACGUCGCGAGAANAGAACGACAAUAGAGUAGAGGCGNGAGAGAGCGAGGACGACACGAGGGAGGAGG
rnacentral:rRNA from 1 species